AAAAUUUGUUUUCAUAUAAUUUUAUCUUUUUGUAUUUUCACUUUAUAAUUUUUAUUAAAUGUGUAUUGUAACAUUGUUUUGUACAAUAUUUCGCUUUAUUGUAAUUAAUAUAUUUGUAUUUUGCAUAAGGUAAAAAAUUAUAAGUUCUAAAAUGAUAAUUAUAAAAGUUAGUAAGAUAAUUUGAAAAUAGAUAAUUAGAUAAGGAUUCAAAAGUAAGAAACUUUAAAAUUUGAAGUUUUGAAGUUGUUUUUGAAGCAUGAAAAUUGAAGUUUUGAAGUUGCUUUUGGAGAUGCUAUAAAUCAGAUAGGCUAGCUCGAAAAUAAAACCAAAGUAAUCAUUAACCAUGUUUUUUUUAGUUUUACAUAAAAUAAUAUAUAUUUUAAAACUAAUUUUAAAAAUGAAAAUAUACAUAUAAUGUCAAAUCAAAUAAUUUAUUAUAAUUUUGGAAUUAUUCCAACUUUUAUAUUUUAUUUUCCAAAAUACUACCAACUAACACUUCCAUCAAUGAUGCAAACUGUGUAUUCAUAAAGUUUUCAAAGUUUAGGAAUGAGAACUAUUUGAUUUAGAAUUCAUUAUUACACUUGGAGGAUCCUUAAACUUAAAAACUAUGAUAUUUUGGAUUUUUAACGUCACUAACUAUAAUCUUCAUAACGAGGAUAACAUAUGAAUCAUAUAUAAUUUCUUUUGAAAAGAUCUAGAGUUUUUAGAGCAUCAUUAUCCAAAGUUUCUUAAGCCGGGGUUCUUAAGGGAAUAUAAGAAACUGUUUCUUAUUUUUUAACAAAAAAAGUUAAGAAAUUGUUUUUUAAAGUACUAUUUUAAGAAACAGUUGUUUGUAUUCUCUUAAGAAUCUCGUCCAAAACCCUGGAUAAUGAUGCUUUUAGCUAAAAUAUCCACUGUAUAAUUAUCCGUACAAAUAUGUAUUUAAUUGGCGAGGUCUUGAAAAUGUCCUCUUAGUCUUUCAGCUUCUUUUUUUUUUUUUUAACUCCGUGGAAAAACUUUGUCAUGCACUUGGAUUUUGAAUCAUCAUUCAUCACUAUCAACUCUUGGCAAUCUGUUUUGAAAUGUUGAACUAUUGAAUGCUACGACAUAUUUACUUCAUAACUCAGAUCGAGAUCCCAGAAAAUAAACGAUAGAGAGAUGGGUUACGUAUGCGGCAUAUGGAUCACAAUCUCCAAGGAAGUAAACACUUCUGGAAGCAACAAGACAGAGAUGUGUGUAUUAUGAAUCAUGUCAACUUUAAGUGUCAGCACAUAUGGAGCUAUGUCCAACACAAUGUACUUUUCAUGACUCGUCUUUUUUUUGUUUCUUCCCAAUAAAAUUUCCCCAAAGGGACCAUUGAUCUUCUCUCUCUCUCAUCUUCGUUGCCGUAUCCUCUGUCUUGUGACAGAUUGAUUUGUGUAAUGUUAAACUUUCUCCCUCGGGAUCAAAUGAUUCGUUUAUUAUCACGGAUU